rnacentral:lncRNA from 1 species
CAACAGAAUAAUACUUAAUAGGUCAUUGGUCUGGUCCUAAUUUUUUUUACAGGUGUGAACUUUCCUUUUUUCAAAUUAUUUUGAAAGGAGAGUAUACAAUCGUCAUCAGUAAAGAAUUCUCCAGAAAGAAGAAAGCCACAUUGAGAGCAGUCCAAAGAGCACCAUGGAGUGAACACAGGGAUCUCCCUGAUGGGGUGGGGAGCACCAUGGAGUGAACACAGGGAUCUCCCUUAUGAGGCCAGGAGCACCACGGAGGGAGCAUGGGAUUGAUUUUCCCUGAUGGGGUCAGGAGCAACAUGGAGUGAGCAUGGAGGUCUUUUCUCCCUUAUAUGGCAACCUACACUUCUUUAAGGACAUCAGGCAGAACAUGUGUGACAAAACUAGCCUUCCUCCAAAGACAUCCCUAUUAGAGACUGACCACAUUGGCCAGAGUCAUGCCACAACCUGCCACAGACUCUACCACAGCCUUCUGCAGGGACAAAGCCACCAGCCUGCCCAUCAGGAGGAUCAGUGGAGAGCUGAGAGGAGUAGGUGGUUUGUGAGAGAAUCAUGUGCAAGUGAGCUGAGGGCUCACACAGAACAGAGAGGAGUUUGGAAGCUUUUGCUGCAAAGGUCUGAGUUGUGUGGCUUAGAUCAACAGUGAGUUAGUUUACUCUUUGAUGAAAAACUAAUGGUAGAUAAAAAGGCAAAUGCCCUCCAACGGAGAAAGCAGUUACAGAUACGGAAAAGGAGAAGCUGAGAUGGACCUGCAGGUCAGACUGGC